rnacentral:lncRNA from 1 species
UGUAUUUACUGAAUUACAGAUUUUAUGAAAUUUUCCAUAUUAGUGACUGUAUAUUUUUGUAUUUCUGUAGUCUUGAUCUUUCCAGGUUGAUCAUCUAAUUUGAUUUGCUGAGAGAGUCCUGGAUUUAUAUCUACACAUCUUGUAUCUCAGAAAGGUUUCCAGUCAAGGAAACUUGAGGAUUGUUUUCCACUCUAGCUGCAAAGGGAGAAAUUGAUUCAUUUUGGCUUUAACUCUGGAACUACUGCAGUCUCCUGCUAAAGCUAAUUUCACUGUGCUCCUGGGUAUAAUCAUCUCAUGAAAGGCAUGCUCUUUUGUCCACUUUCAACUUGAGGAAAUUUUGCUGCAGAGAAAGGAGAUGCAUGAAGGGCUUCUUAGAAACUGCAGGCCGCUUCAGGAAUGGUGGCUCCUAUGUCCACUUUUCAGCUGUAACAUUGGGAAUCCUGGCUAGAGUACCUGAGGAUUCAUCUGAACUCCAUGGAAUCUGGAAGCCUGAUCAACAGACCAGUAAAUACCUAUGGCAUAGCUUGCUCAGGGGAGUCACCUCAGUAUUUAGGGCCACAGAGAAGCUGAGAAAAAUAAUUUUGUUCACAUUGAACAGAACCACAAAGUCCCCAUCUUUUGACUUCCUGUCAAGGAGGGGGACAGAAGGAGGUUUCUCAGCGCCAAGGUAG